rnacentral:lncRNA from 1 species
AAAAAUCAGAUUUUCGUUCUAACAAUUUCCAUUUCAAGAGUUUCUAUCUUCUUGGUUUGAGAUAAAGGACCUGGAAACACAAUCUUCAAAUAAAACGUUGAGCAAGUGUAGACGAAAUUCAUUUCUGGUCUUAGUACACCAAAAAGAUUAAAGAGCGGGAUCAUUAAAAUUUUGUUCAAAGAAGCAGGAGCGUUAUUCUUGUGCGUUCAACAUAUUUCAUAUAAGCAGAACUUCAUUUUAUUCAAAUAAUUCAAGGAACAGGUAUGUUAAGGCACUUCCUUCUUUCUUUUGGCAUGAUCUAAUGUGAAAUGAAUACGCGAUUUCAUAAUGAAUCUACUCCUAGAAACUAAGGUUGUCCAUGUUGUUCUUUCCGUACAAAUUUAUUCUAAGAAAGUAUGUAUGAUCCUUGCUUCCUAGUGAAGUUCAUAAUGAUGGUAUGAUGUCCAUAAUGUUAAUCGAAGUUGCAACGUCCUUACGUCACUCUGAAAGGUUUAGAACAUGAUUCCAUCAGUCUAGCAUGCAUUAUAUAUAUGUAUCUAUUUUAUUCUACCGAGUCGCGCUAUAGUCGGCCGGGUACGACACCUAUUGUGCAACCACUGAUCAGUUGGAUUUACCAAGCUCCACGUGGCCGGGUACGAUUCUACCGAGCCUUAUAAUGGCCGGGUACGUUUUUACCGAAUCCUCUUUGAGGCCGGGUACGAUAUGAUGAUGAUGAUUCCCAUAGAGGCGAAUGUUUUCAAAAAAAAGUUUAUGUAUAUAUAUGUAUUAUGCAUUUCAUAUCAGUAGCCCCCAGAGGUACUCAGAUGUUACAGGUUGUAUCUCAUCUAUCUCUCUUUACAUUACUGUUCUUGUUUAUGCUUCCAUGCCUCACAUACUCGGUACAUUAUUCGUACUGACAUCCCUUUUGCCUAGGGAAGCUGCGUUUCGUGCCCACAGGUCCUGAUAGACAGGUCGAGAGCCCUCCAAGUAGGCUAUCAGCUCAACGGAAGAUGUUGGUACGCUCCAUUUGCUUUGGAGUCGCUCGUUUGGUUUGUAUUAUUUAGACAUGUAUUGUUUGAUAUGGCGGGACUCUGUCCACACCUUUAUAGCAUUUAUGUAUUCAUAGAGGCCUGUAGACAUAUGUCGUGUACGUAAAAGAUUGUACGGCCUUGUCGCCCUAUGUCUUGAGUUUAUAAAUGAUUAUGUUGGCUUAUUAGGCUUGUAUGUCACGUGUAUAUGAUGAUGUAAUAAGAAAGAUACGUUACGUUGGUG